rnacentral:tRNA from 1 species
GCCUGGAUGGCUCAGUGGGCUGAGCGUCUGACUUCAGCUCAGGUCAUGAUCUCGCGGUCCAUGAGUUCGAGCCCUGUGUCAGGCU